CUUUCUGGCGCGGCGCGACGCACUACUUAGUCGUCAUUUCCGCCUAGGGUGCAGGAGGCGGGAGAGUGAGGGAAAGACUGGAAGACGAGCCUGCAGGAUGUUUCCUCGGUGAGAGGAAGGCGGUUGUACAAUGGCGGUGUUUGACACUCCUGAGGAGGCUUUUGGCGUCUUACGUCCGGUCUGUGUUCAGCUCACAAAGACCCAGACAGUGGAGAAUGUGGAGCAUCUGCAGACACAGUUACAAGCCAUAAGUGACACUGCUCUUCAGGAACUACAGCAGUACAUCCUCUUCCCUUUGCGAUUUGCCCUGAAGACCCCAGGGCCCAAAAGAGAGCGCCUGGUGCAGAGUGUGGUGGAAUGUCUCACCUUUGUCCUCUCUUCCACAUGUGUGAGAGAGCAGGAGCUUCUGCAGGAACUCUUCUCGGAGCUUUCUGCCUGUCUGUACUCUCCCAGCUCCCAGAAACCCGCAGCUUUGUCAGAGGAGUUGAAAUUGGCUGUCAUCCAGGGACUUAGCACCUUAAUGCACUCAGCUUACAGGGACAUCAUUCUGACUUUUUAUGAGCCCUCCAUUCUGCCUCGUUUAGGAUUUGCUGUGUCUUUACUGUUAGGAUUGGCAGAGCAGGAGAAGUCAAAACAGAUUAAAAUUGCUGCCUUACAGUGUCUGCAGGUUCUCCUCCUUCAGUGUGAUUGUCAGGACCAUCCAAGGCCCUUGGAUGAACUGGAGCAGCAGCAGCUGGGGGAUUUGUUGGCAUCUUUCUUACCUGGGAUCUCAACUGCGCUGACCAGAAUCAUCACAGGAGACUUUAAACAAGGUCACAGCAUUGUCGUGUCUUCUCUAAAGGUCUUUUACAAGACAGUGGGCUUCAUCAUGGCUGAUGAACAGCUCACAAGGAUUCCAAAGGCCCAAGCAAAACCUGUAGUUGAGCACAGAGUAGCAGCCCUGAUGAUUCACAGAGAAGCAGACUGGGUAAAAAGUACUGGUGACAAGCUGGCCAUCUUUAUUAAAAAGAUAAUUGACUGUGUCUCCGUUCACCCACACUGGAAGGUGAGGCUGGAACUGGUAGAGUUUGUGGAAAUCCUGCUUUUGAAGUGCACUCAGUCCCUGGUUGAAUCCACGGGACCCCUCUUGAAGGUGUUAGUUGGCCUAGUGAAUGAUGAAAGUCCGGAAGUCCAGGCCCGGUGCAGUACAGUGCUGAGGCGUCUUGCAGAUCAGAAAGUAGUAGUGGGCAGCAGAGCCUUGGCUGACAUCUUGUCAGAAAGCCUGCAUUCACUGGCCACGUCUCUUCCCCGCCUGAUGAACACACAGGAUGAUCAGGGCAAAUUCUCUACCCUUUCCCUGUUACUUGGGUAUCUGAAACUGUUGGGCCCCAAAGUGCAUGUGAUUCUCAAUUCUGUGGCCCAUGUGCAACGCCUUUCCAGGGCCCUCAUCCAAGUACUGGAGCUAGAGGUGACUGAUGUCAAGAUGGUGGAAGAGCGGCGCUGGAACUCUGAUAACCUGAGUGCUUCUGCAGAGGUCUCAGCUGCACGGCCAUGGAGCAGAGUCCAGAGGCGAUACUUCCGAUGCUUCACUGACGAGAGGGUCUUCCUGCUCCUUCGGAAGAUCUGUCAGCUCCUGGGUUAUUAUGGGGACCUGUAUUUGCUUGUGGAUCACUUUAUGGAACUGUACCAUACAUCUGUAGUUUAUCGGAAGCAAGCUGCCAUGAUCCUUAAUGAACUGGUUGUAGGGGCUGCUGGACUGGAUGUAGAAGAUAUUCAUAACAAAUGUCCAAGCAUGGGCCCAGAGGAGUUGAGAGAGAUUGUGAAAUCUAUACUAGAGGAAUACACAAGCCAAGAAAACUGGUACUUGAUUACCUGUUUUGAAGCUGAGGAGGGGGAGGAGGUGAUGAUGAAGCAGCAAGGCUUCCAGGCUGUCACAUCUGGUGUCCACACCUGCCAAGUUGUAUCUUUUCCAGCCCUGUCAAAGCCGAGUCCCACUAUCUGCUCCAUGAACAGUAACAUCUGGCAGAUAUGCAUUCAGUUGGAAGGGAUUGGCCAGUUUGCAUAUGCAUUAGGAAAAGACUUUCGUUUGCUUUUGAUGUCAGCUCUCUAUCCAAUACUGGAGAAGGCGGGAGAUCCAACCUUGCUUAUUAGUCAAGUGGCUACUAGCACCAUGGUAGAUAUUUGCCACGCUUGUGGCUACAACUCUGUACAACACCUGAUCAAUCAAAAUUCAGACUAUUUGGUGAAUGGAAUCUCUUUAAAUCUGCGUCACCUCGCUCUGCACCCUCAUGCCCCAAAAGUCCUAGAAGCCAUGCUUCGGAACGCGGAUGCCAGCCUACUUCCUUUGGUAGCAGAUGUGGUUCAGGACGUCCUGGCCACCCUGGACCAAUUUUAUGAUAAGAGAGCUGCUUCCUUUGUCAGCGUUCUGCAUGCUCUGCUGGCAGCAUUAGCACACUGGUUCCCAGACUCGGGUUCUACUGGGCAACUCCAACAGCGUAGUUUAGAAGAGGAGGGGAGGCAACUGCCAGCAGCUGGCGAGGCUAGCACCACAGCCGAGGACAUCGAGCAGUUUGUACUGAGCUACCUCCAAGAGAAGGAUGUGGCAGAGGGAAAUGUUUCUGACCUUGAAGCUGAAGAAGAGGUGCAGUCAGCCCCUCCCAAAGUGGAUGAGAAUGACACCCUUCCAGAUGUGGAACCACCACUGCCAACGCACAUCCAGAUAGCCAAGGACGUGAUGGAGCGCUGCAUCCACUUGUCAGCAGAUAAAAAUCUGAAAAUCCGCCUGAAGCAAAAGCCUGUGUGUGCUGCUGUCCUGACCACUACCUACAAUUGACGCUGGCUGACAGUACUCAGUAGUAGAUUAAAAGGUCUUGGAUGUGCUGGGUUUGUGUGUGGAGGUUCUACAGACCCACAAGAACCAGCUCCUUCCCCUAGCUCAUCGGGCCUGGCCUUCACUCGUACACCGACUUACAAGUGAUGACCCCCUGGCAGUGCUCAGAGCCUUCAAGGUACUGACACCCCUGUCUGUCAUGGGAUGCAGGUCUGAAGCACAGAGGCUGCCCCCAUCUUCUGCAUCACUUUAAUUUCUCUGACCUCUGGACACAGAGCUUGAAGAAAGUGCAGAAAAAUAAGUAAAGUCCAGGAGAGACUACAUGACAGUCUUUUGACUUUAAAGCUGGGUGGACUCGUAAAGGGAGGCCACUAGUGUUCACUGAGCAUCUCUUGUGUGCCGGGCACAAGCUUGGCUUUGCCCACAUGGAAGCUUACUUCAUAGUGAUCUUGCUACCUCUAUUUUUGGCCAAGGUCAGAGACGAUAACUUACCUUGGGACUGUGCAGCUAGUAAGGGAUAGAACCAGGUUAGGCUCAAGCUUCAUGAACUGCAUGAGAGUCAAGGUGAUGGCCCAUCUACAGUCACCAUGUUCAGGUGGGGCUUAGGUACAGUUCUGUUGGGGAUGAACUGAACUCUGGGGAAGGCCUUUGAAAAGCUACAGCCUGUAGAGAUGUCGUUCUCCCUGGUUAGUUUGGCCAUAUGAGCACAACAAUUUUCAUUUAUUUAUUUAUAUCCUUCCUUGUUCUAAAAAGCACUAAACGGCAUCCUACAGAGAUACUUUACCAUGCAAGACAGCAUAAAUUGGAAGUGGAUGAGCAAAAUGAGGCAGAGGGAAGAGAUGUGGAGGGGUGGCAAGUGGGAGCUGGGAUGCAGUCAGUAUGCCCGGCAUCUCUUGCAGCCAAAAUACCAGCUUAUAUUUGAAGGACAUAAUUGAUAAUGUUAAUUCCAAAGCAAAAUUCAUGAGAUGGUGUGUAUAUGUGUGUCUCUGUCUGUGUCUGUGUGUUAAGAGGAAAGGGGGAGAGAGAGAAGAGAGCCUGGGGGAGGCAGAGUGGGAAGGAGGUAUUACUAAAUCUUAUUCAGAUGUACUGUUUCCCUUUAUGAAAAUUAAUAGGUUAUUUAAAAUGACAGGCAGUGUAGAGAAAUGAAAGCAUACAAGGCUGCUUUCUCCACUGCAGACACAUUAAUAGGGCUUUACCUGAGGUCAUGUGAUACAGCUGAGGUCCUGAGAGGAGACCUUACUCUGCAGACUGGACGGUGCUCUGUGCCCAUUAUGCCUUGCUUAUUGAUUCUUAAAGAAAGUCCUAUCCUCCUGUUUGCUCAGCCUUGUGCAGUGGGGCAAAACAUUUCAAUAUGUUCUGCUACAGAAAGUUUAAACGACACAUGCAAAGAGACUGCCUGUUGUGAAAGAUAGAAAAGGGCUGAUGUACAUGAGAGAUUAUGCAGUCGAACACACAGAACACAGUGAUGGCUCCAGCCACAAACACCAGCCUUGGCUUGCCAGGGAGGGACUGUAGUCUGGCCACCAUCCUCCUGAUGCCUUCACAUGGCAGCUGCUGAGCCUCGAGUGUGUUUGCUCAGCCAGCAAGAGUUAAAAGCCCCGGUCUUCUCAGGGGGUCUUAGGGAGAUUCUAGAGAUGAUCUCGAUCUACACGAACGAACGGCUUUAGGUUCUCGGUCUUCCUCCCUGCCCCUCCCUCCCUCCCUCCAAAAAGGAGAGGAAAUCAAGGUAUUAAUCAUAUUAUUCAUCCAACCAAAGCUCCCUCAGAAUUACUCUCUAUGUAAUUUGUAUUUAUGGAUAGAAGCAUCUAUGCCUUGGAAGCAGAGACCUCUGAAUUCAUAACUGUCAGAAUCACAAACCAUGGGCAAGGAAUUAAUGGCAGUAAUUCUUUUUUUUUUUUUUUCUAAGUAGAGACCUAGAUAGAAUUGAAUUACCAAGCAUGUUCCAGCCCUCUUGCUGCUUUAGCAGUGUGCAGUCACCAGGUUGGGAACUGUUUCUGCAGGUUUUACAGACACUUGGAAGCAGAUGUGGCGAUUUUCUCCGGAGUCGGUUCUGUAAAGAUGUCCUGCCAAAACUGACCAGCUCCUUAAUCACCCAGGCCCCCAUCAGUGCCAGGGCUGGACCAGUUUAUUCUCAUACACUGGCCUUCAAGCUACAGCUGGCUGUCUUGCAGGGCCUGGGCCCCCUCUGUGAAAAUCUGGACUUGGGUGAGGGUGACCUGAAUAAAGUGGCUGAUGCCUGCGUGAUUUACCUCAGUACCAAACAGCCCGUGAAAUUACAAGAGGCUGCCAGGAGCGUCUUCCUCCACCUGAUGAGAGUAGACCCUGACUCCACCUGGCUCCUCCUGCAUGAGCUGUACUGCCCUGUGCAGCAAUUCACAGCCCCGCAUCCCAGCCUUCACCCAGUGCAGCUGCAGGGGGCCACUCAGCCACAGAACCCCUAUGCCACCAAUGUGUGCCACCUGCUUCUUCAACUGCAGUGAUCCUGCCAGACCCUGGCAGCCAGAAACUGAGCUGAGCCACCCUUCCUGGAUAUAGUUCGGCAACACAGCGGUGAAGGUGGAUUAGACAGCGAUCAAUGUAUAAAUUGAUCAGUCACACGACUGCUUACAAAUUGGACUGAAGGAAAGUAGCUCACUGUUAUUUAUAUUUCACUCUUUGUGUUUUCAGAUGACAUUGUCUGGUGGCUCUAAGAGUUUAACUCUUUAGCUUACUGUCUGCACAACCCCUCUGCCUCACAAGUCCCCUAAACACAUACACACACAUCCCUUGUGUUCCACACCCAAGUGUGAUUCUCAGCACCCAUUAGUAGCUAGCUCACAACCAUCUUUGUAACUCCAGUUUCAAGGGAUCCAACCCCCUCUCCUGACCUCAAACACCAGACUUGCACAUGGUGCACAGACACACUCAUGAGCCAAACACUUAUAAGAUAAAUAAAUCUUUUCAAAAAUGUC